rfam:HIV-1 isolate 1182.48-4078-20030225 pol protein (pol) gene, partial cds.
AUAGGUGAAGUGCUAGUAGGACCUACACCUUUYAAYGUAAUUGGAAGGAAUAUGAUGACUCAGAUUGGUUGUACUCUAAAUUUUCCYAUUAGUCCUAUUGACACUGUACCAGU